rnacentral:ncRNA from 3 species
AACUAAAUAGAAGCGCCAGAACUAAGUAUUGCUUAGUUGACGAGGAAGGGAUUAAUCGAAAAUUCGGCGGGAGUCCCUCGGUUGUACAUGCAAUCGUAAUGCCUUUGCUACAAACCAUUAGGGUGACCUAGUGAACAGAGUGGAAAGGAACAUGUUUU